UAGGGGAAAAGAAGAGAAUGCUUCCCGACAGCUACAGAUGUAUCCCUGAUUUAGCAGAAGAAAUCACUGCCUAAAACUAUGGAAGAGGAUGACCUUUGGUAGCCUGAUCAGGUGUUUUGCUCUCAGCGAGUGUCCGGGAAUUCCGUCUACAAUCCCCACAAACUCCAGGACAAAAGUGAACUCAGUCUGUUGGUGCUUAGCAUCUGUUGUAAUGCUGUGUAUCAACUUACAGAUUCCAGAAAAUGUAAGCUUCAAAUGAAUUGAAGAUGUAUUUCUCAUUGUUACUCACAUUUCUGAGGUCUCUCAAACUCUGUACAGGCUUCCUCAAAUCAGAAUUAACUACUUCACUGCUGGGAUCAGUUUGUGUUUAGUGAAAACUGGCAAAUGAUCGACGUUUCCCUCACUGUUUUCUUAGCUAUGCAUCACAUCUUAUGUUUAAUUUUCCACAUUAAUCAGCACAUGCUAAAUACUAAAUUUAAUUCAGUAUUCUAUGAUUAAUACUAAAUAAUGUGAAAAUGAGAGCUUGUUUAAAAUGUAAAUUUACUUCCUGCAUUUUGCAUAUUUGCUUUUAAAUUGAAUAAAAUUGGGAUUAAGAUGAUGAAAAUA